UCGAUUCUGGCUCGGAUUGAAACGCUGCGGAUGCUUUACACAUGCAAGUCGAACGGCAGCACGCACUUCUGGUCUGGUGGCGAGUGGCGAACGGUGAGUAAUGCAUCGGAACGUGCCUAGCGGGGAUAACUACGCGAAAGCGUAGCUUUGCAUUACCGCAUACCGCCCUUCGGGGGAAAGCGGGGACCUCGGGCCCCCGCACUAUUAGAGCGGCUGAUAUCGGAUUAGCUAGUUGGUGGGGUAACGGCUCACCAAGGCGACGAUCCGUAGCUGGUUUGAGAGGACGACCAGCCACACUGGGACUGAGACAGGCCCAGACUCCUACGGGAGGCAGCAGUGGGGAAUUUUGACAAUGGGGGAAACCCUGAUCCAGCCAUCCCGCGUGUGCGAUGAAGGCCUUCGGGUUGUAAAGACCUCGGCAUGAAAGAAACGGUAUCGGGAUAAUACCCGCAACUGACGGUACCUGCAGAAUAAGCACCGGCUAACUACGCCAGCAGCCACAGGUCACGUAGGUGCAAGCGUUAAUCGGAAUUACUGGGCGUAAGCGCGCAGGCGGUUCGGAAAGAAAGAUGUGAAAUCCCAGAGCUUAACUUUGGAACUGCAUUUUUAACUACCGGGAGUUUAGAGUGUGUCAGAGGGAGGUGGAAUUCCGCGUGUAGCAGUGAAAUGCGUAGAUAUGCGGAGGAACACCGGAUGGCGAAGGCAGCCUCCUGAGCUAACACCGAUCGCUCAUGCACGAAAGGGGGAGCAAACAGGAUUAGAUACCCUGGUAGUCCACGCCCUAAACGAUGUCAACUAGCUGUUGGGGCCUUCGGGCCUUGAAGCGCAGCUACCGCAGGAAGUUGCACCGCCUGGGGAGUACGGUCGCAAGAUUGGAAACUCAAAGUUAGAAUUGACGGGGACUCACAAGCGGUGGAUGAUGGAUUAAUUGAUGCAACGCGAAAAACCUUACCUACCCUUGACAUGUCUGAAUCCCGAAGAGAUUUGGGGAGUGCUCGCAAGAGAACCGAACACAGGUGCUGCACAUGGUUGUCGUCAGCUCGUGUCGUGAGAUGUUGGGUUAAGUCCGCAACGAGCGCAACUCUUGUCAUUAGUUGCUACGAAAGUGCACCUCUAGCUGAGACUGCCGGUGACAAACUGGAGGAAGGUGGGGAUGACGUCAAGUCCUCACGUGGCCCUUAUGGGUAGGGCUUCACACGUCAUACAAUGGUCGGGACAGAGGGUCGCCGUCCCGUGAGGGGAGCCAAUCCCAGAAACCCGAUCGUAGUCCGAUCGCAGUCUGCAACUCGACUGCGUGAAGUCGGAAUCGCCAGUAAUCGCGGAUCAGCAUGUCGCGGUGAAUACGUUCCCGGGUCUUGUACACACCGCCCGUCACACCAUGGGAGUGGGUUUUACCAGAAGUAGUUAGCCUCCAACCGUAAGGAGGGCGAUUACCACGGUAGGAUUCAUGACUGGGGUGAAGUCGUAACAAGUAG
rnacentral:rRNA from 1 species